UUCCACGUGCUGGGGACAGGACACCCCGUAGGGGUAAGGUCACAGGAUUGGUAACAAAGAAAGCUCCCUGAGCUUCUUGCCCCAGACACCUAGCUCUGCGUGCGCAACAAUCCUCGUCUACAGUUUGAGCAGUCCCUCAUCCCCGGGGUGGGGGGGACUUCUCUCCACCCACCCACCCCUCAUCUUGGGACAUAGACUCCAAGCACGAGCGCUCACCCAGACAAUGUGAUGAACACUGUAGACAUCUGAGUCACCCAUGUAGACGCGAAUGGCACGCAGCGUGAAGCCGUACUUCUUGCCAGAGCGUUGGAUGGUGAUGGGGGAGCGGAGCCCGCUGACAGCCGAUUGCUGAUCUCAUAGGAUGUAAACUGGGAUCAGCUGGAUAGCAACUCUGCUACAUCAGAGCCUGUCUAGAGGGAAGACUACACAUGGAAGAACAGGGUCAAGAGACGAAGAGAUUCCUGAUGACAUAGUUUGAGCACCCAGAUACAGCCAUUCCUGAAGUCCCACGGGCAGCCACACCUUCCACGUAUUCCAUGACCAUGCAGAGGUGGCGCCGGGUCUCAAAGGAGCAGAACAUGCCGACCACAAAGGGGUUCUCGGCGAAGGAAAGAAGCCUAUGAAAUAAUCACUUUCAUAUACAAAAAGCUACCAGAAAUCAAUAACAAAAGGCCCACCAAUGGAAGAGAAAAUACAGACAAGAUAUGUGAACUACAAUUAGAGCUCUUAACCAUAUGAAAAGAUGCUGAACCUCACAUAUAGUGGCCGAAGAGCAAAUCAAAACUACCCCAAGAUACAAUUUUUCACCUAGCAGACUGGCCAAAAGGAUCCAAAAAGCUGACACCCUCUGGGUGAAGCUGUGUUGGAACAGGUACUUUUAUGCCUUCCUAUCGGGUGUGUAAAAUGGUACAACCUCCAUGCAAGGUACUCUGGCCUAUAAAAAGAAGUAUAAGUGCAUGUUCCCUGUGAUCCAGUAAUUUCAUUUUCGAAUUAUUGCUACAGAUAUGCAUGUGAAAAAUUACAUAUGUAUCACCUCGCUCAUUGCAAGACUGGAAACAACCCAUAUGUUCAUCUUUAGGAAACUGGUUAAAUAAACACAGGAGAGGCAUCUGCGUAAAGGAAUACUGUGCCACUGUUAAACAGAAAGGAAUCGCUCAGUACACUGAUUCAGUAUUUUAUUAAGUGGGGGAAAAAAGCAAGGAGCAAAAUGUACUGUAAGUUUUUUGGCAAAAUAGGGCUAUCUAAUCGUACUUAGGGGGUGCUCAGUAGCACAUAUACUAAUAUUUGGGGGGAUAUAGGUCAGUGGGGGGA